rnacentral:rRNA from 1 species
CCUGUGAAUACAGAAAUUGCUUGGUUGCUUUUUGCAACCGCUUUUAAACUACAUUUUAUUAUUAUGUCUGAACAAACAAGAAAUUCAAAACUAACAAUAACGGAUCUCUUGGUUCUCGCAUCGAUGAAGACCGCAGCAAAGCGCGAAAGAUAAUGUGAAUUGCAGACGUGAAUCAUUGAGUUGUUGAACGCACAUUGCGCUUUCUUUUACGAGAAAGCAUACCUGUGCGAGCGUCAUUUCUCUCUCCACACCUAGUGGGUAUUGGCACUCUACAUAGUGCUGAAAAAGAUCAUGCGUAUAUGUUAACCACAAUGUGCGCUUUAAAUCUAAAUUAUUGACCUCGUAUCAGGUAAGAGUACCCACUGAACUUAAGCAUAUCAAUAAGCGGAGGA